GGAGAGGUGGCAGAGUGGUCGAUUGUACCUGACUCGAAAUCAGGCGUACGUGCAAGCGUACCGAGGGUUCGAAUCCCUCCCUCUCCGCCA
rnacentral:tRNA from 3 species